rnacentral:lncRNA from 1 species
AACACGCAGAUGUUUGGAUGUCUUGUCCGUGCCAUGAACGGAUGAACCAUGAUGCGCCGUCCGUUGUCGUCGCUGGUGCUGGUGCGUGGUGAGUUCGUGUGGCUGAUUAAUGAUAACUUGUACUCCGGAGUAGCUAGCUACUUAUUAGAUCAGCAAUCCGGCAUACGCAAAACAGAAUUUCGGUAAAUUUCCUAGACGAAAUUGCACAACUACUUUAGGGAAGAUAAGUCAACGCAUUUCUUUUUGAGAAUAGAUAAGUCGACACAUUACAGCAGUUGAUCCAUAAAUCUCCUUAUUACAUACAGGCUAUGUAAAAUAUACUCACACAAUGACUGUAUAGUACUCUGAAAUACUAACUCAGGCCUCUCCGCGCGCCUCCGCUUCCACCGGAUGCCGUGGAACGGCAGGAGGGGCAUCAAGCGCAGCACAGGAAGUCAAGGAUGCUGGAGCAGCAGUCGUAGCAGCAAGAACAGCUGCAAACCAAGCGCAAAUUAGGCACGACCAAUCAAUCAAUCGGAGAGCGGAGAGGGCCGAGCGGGGCAAGAAUAACACAGGAGUCUCAGUCGACCAACCAAUCAAAUCUAGUUAGCACACACACGUACCAUCCGUCGAGGCUCUUGUCGUGGAGAUCGUCGGUCGCGGACAUGGACUGAGCAGGCGGGGGAUCCAUGGCCAAGUCGGUCUCUCCGCGUCUGUGGACGGGCGACGAUGAUGAUGUGGGGAAGAAGGCAACGGCGGAAUGGUGCUGCAAGGCAAAGGGCAGAGGCGAGGGGUAUGGAGGCAGUUAAGCUGGAAGGGAACGCAAGUAAAUGACGCACAUGGACUGGGCGGCGGUACCGGUGUAAAGCUCUUGUGCCGGGAUUUAAGGCUUAAGGUAUGGCAUGCCCCGUGUACGACCGGGCGUGUCAUCCGAUCAUUUGUGCGCCACAAGCCACUGAUUGCGCACACACAUUAUCUAUCUUCAUUCUCCGUGUGUUUCUUCUUACCUUAAAGUGGGUCAUGCUGCCAGCUUGGCCUCCACCGUCCAAUGAGUGAAGCAAUUAGCGGAGUUGAAGAAGGAAUUCGUC